rnacentral:lncRNA from 1 species
AUGGUGGGGGGACACAGGACGCAGCUCGUCCUUGGGCAGGGUCACACGCGGCCCCCGAUGUGGGGAGCGUGCCGGGCUGCGGCCAGCCCCAUAUCGACGUCCCCACUAAUGACAGCAGUGCGUGACCGGGGGCAGCGGCAGCGGCGUGGGGCCAUCGACCCGUAUCGAGCGGGGGGGGCAGGGGGACAUCGAUGGGUAAUUAAUGGGAACGAGGCCACGUGUGGGGCCGGGGCGCUCGCCGGCCGCGUCCCCCCACCGAGUGCGGCUGAGCGCGGUUAUAAACAGCAGCCAGCGGUGCCAGAGCCACCGCCGAGACCCCCGAGCCGGGCAGGUAAGGAGCUGCAGCGGGGGUCCCUCAGCUGCAGCCACGCAGGGGCUGGGCUGUGCCGUACCGCGGUGUGCCACGGGAUGGUGACUGCCCUGCCCUGCUCCAGCUCCAGCCCCGCUGCCGUUCGCCUCCUUCCUGUCCCUCAGAUCCCAAAGGAUCCCAGAGCAGAUGGAGCAGCAGCCCCACAGCACAGCGGAUGGAGCAGGAGCCCACGAGCAGCAGCCCCACACUGCAGUGGAUGGAGCUGGAGCCCAUGGAGCAGCAGCCCCACACUGCAGUGGAUGGAGCAGGAGCCCAGGAGCAGCAGCCCCACACUGCAGUGGAUGGAGCAGGAGCCCAUGGAGCAGCAGCCCCACACUGCAGUGGAUGGAGCAGGAGCCCAGGAGCAGCAGCCCCACAGCGGAGGCCGAGCUGGGGCGCAGACCCGUCUUGCUGCCUGGAAGCAGCCCCAAGCUCGGCCCCUUCUCUCCCCCUUCUCUUUCUCUUGCAGGGAGCUGAGCCCCGGGCCCGCCCCGCCCUGCCUCUGUCUGAUAUGUUUGAUAUUAGGUUGUUUUAUUGGAAACCAACUAAAUAUCAAACAUAUUCUUACAGCGCCAGGGCCGCCCAGCGCCGCGUGCCGCCCGCGUGGGCUCAGCGCCCACCACCUGUUCCCUGAUGCACAGCGAUGGGCACGGGGCCCUGUGCCCCCCCCGCUGCCUCCCGCCCCAAAUCCGUGCCAAGGAGCUCCUGCAAUCCCCCCCUGUGCCGGGACAAUGAGCUCCUGGGUGCCAGCAGCAUCCCCUGCCCCGUGGCUGGGUGCAGGGGGGGAGGCCAGGGGGGGUCCUGAGAGCUCAGCUGCCCCCGCUGCCCCUCCAGAGCUGAACCAUGCGGGCCGGGGGCUGCUGCUAAAGCCCUGCUCUUAA